rnacentral:misc_RNA from 1 species
UGUGCGCACAAGUCAGACAAGGACUUAGCUCACUGUGGCCAGAGGUGCGUUCUAUCAUCAGGCUUGAGAGUUGUCACUAAUCAAUGCUUGUAAUUGCAGUGCAGUGAAUAAAUUUUGCGAUUAUUAGCGUGCAUGAUAUAGACAUUGAAUUACCUAUUAACAAACGAUCCCCUGCGAAACCUAAACGAACUAACGAUAACGUAGAAUUGUAUGAGUAAGGAUUUACCAGUGUCGUUGGUUUGGCGUCGUUGAUGUUGUCGUCACUGAGGUCCCCAGGCUUCAUGUCCCCCACUCCUGACCGAUGGAGUUCAACUGGGCUGUCUGGAACAGCCCUCGAUUCAAGACUGGACUCUUCCAGCUUCAACAACUCGCUGGUAUCUGGUAGUUAUGCCAGCAAUUCGACCAAUUUUAACUGCAGUCCCGGUAGCAGUGGCAGUAAUUCCAGUCUAACGGGGAGUGUCGGCAGUUCAGUAUCGGGGAGUUGUAGCCCGUCGCAGCUCCUGAACUGGAUGUGUCUCCUAGCUGCUGAGCAUCGCAACCAAAAUCAAACGCAAGGGUCGACGCUUAACAACCACAUGUCCCCUUCCGACGCUCUACAGAACCGGAAGGCAACUUCUAGCAUCUGGAAUAGUCGUAGCAACAGCAGCAGUGUCCUCAGCCCAAAUUCUUACAACUCCAACUUAGACUCGGGCCUUGUCGGAGCGCUAUCCAGUCUAUCCAGCACCCAACACUCCAACGGCAGCUCAUCUUAUCUUAACCACAACAAUUUUCCCUCAAAUAUCUCCAAUAACAAUACGAGCUUUCUGAAUAACAACCUACGAGCAACGAGCGACAUCAGUUCUCUUUUAAACCCUACGACUCCCAGUGGCUUCAACUCCUCUGGGCUCUUGAACGGUUUGGCAAACAUGUCGGCUGCAGAGUUGGCCGCGCUAUCGUCGCUCUCUUCCUUCUCGGGUCUAGGCGGCAUCAACAGCCUCAGCUCUGCCCUAAACGGCGUCAACAAUUUUAGCUCCAUGAACAGUCUGGCCUCGUAUCCUGAUUCUGGAUACGGUUAUGGGUCGUCCUUCAAUGGGUUACAUAGCCCUGUGCACUCAACAGGGCUCAAUGGCAGUAUAGGCGAGCUGACAGAGCAGCUCAGCGAGCUUUCCCUGGCUUACGAUCGAAAAAAUAAAAUUCGCAAGCUUCCACCGAAUUACUUGUGCCAUCUGUGCUUCAAAAAAGGACAUCAUAUCAAAGAGUGCCCUCAGGCGCGUCCGAAGGGGGAAGGUCUGACCCCCUACCAGGGCAAGAAGCGCUGCUUCGGCGAGUUUCGCUGCACCAAGUGCAAGAGGAAAUGGAUGAGCGGCAACUCGUGGGCCAACUGCAGUCAGGAGUGCAUCAAAUGUAGGAUUAAAGUCUACCCGCACAAACAGCAUAUCAUGCAAGACAGCAGCACCAGGGACUGCUUCCCUAAGUUUGUGUGAACCUUCGUCUCCCCUCGCAACCUAACACGGCGCUCGAUCUCACGGCCUCGCGCAAAGACCUCUCGACAAACCGGAUGGUUUGGACGUCUCUGACCAGUCGAAAGUUCACCCUCAGCAUCUCUGCGAAAAAUGCAAGAGUCUC